rnacentral:tRNA from 1 species
GUCCCUGUAGAGCAAUGGAUAGCGCGUUGGACUUCUAAUCCAAAAGUUGUGGGUUCGAAUUACACCUGGGAUA